rnacentral:rRNA from 1 species
CCUACGUGGUGCAGCAGUGGGGAAUAUUGGACAAUGGGCGAAAGCCUGAUCCAGCCAUGCCGCGUGUGUGAAGAAGGCCUUCGGGUUGUAAAGCACUUUCAGUGGGGAAGAAAGCCUUGGGGCUAAUACCCUCGAGGAAGGACAUCACCCACAGAAGAAGCACCGGCUAACUCCGUGCCAGCAGCCGCGGUAAUACGGAGGGUGCGAGCGUUAAUCGGAAUUACUGGGCGUAAAGCGCGCGUAGGCGGUCUGAUAAGCCGGUUGUGAAAGCCCCGGGCUCAACCUGGGAACGGCAUCCGGAACUGUCAGGCUAGAGUGCAGGAGAGGAAGGUAGAAUUCCCGGUGUAGCGGUGAAAUGCGUAGAGAUCGGGAGGAAUACCAGUGGCGAAGGCGGCCUUCUGGACUGACACUGACGCUGAGGUGCGAAAGCGUGGGUAGCAAACAGGAGUAGAUACCCCGGUAGUC